rnacentral:tRNA from 1 species
GUCGGUAUAGCUCAGUGGUAGAGCACGUGCUUAGCAUGUACAAGGUCCUGGGCUCAAGCCCCAGUACCUCCA